AUUUGCAUCAGGUUGACAGCAGAUAAGUUGGAUAUCAUUUAUAUUGUAUGCAUAAAGAUAGCCGUUGGGGUCAAGAUUCAAAUCAUCAUGGAGCUGAUUAAAUGGAAUCAUUUCACAAAGAGUAGUCUGAUAGAGGGUUAACCUUCCUCCACUUUUUUCUUUGAUAUCAAGCUGAACCCUCACAUCAUUUACAGGAUUUGCUAUGUUAGUUGGAUUACCGCUGCUGUACAUCAGCAUGGGAGCCCAGAUUACACAGAUCAAUAUAAAGAACAAGCAUAUUCCAUUGCAGAAUUUGGUCAUCUUAGUCUGCUUCUCCCCUGGUUUGUGUGUAGCUCUGUUCAGAACAGCAUCACAUUUGACAAGGUACAAGCUUGCAUUUAUGUCUUCCAACUUCAGCCAGUCAUACAUUGUCAAUGAAGUUUUAGUGCAAG
rnacentral:misc_RNA from 1 species